rnacentral:rRNA from 1 species
AGGAACUCGGCAAAUUGCAUCCGUAACUUCGGGAGAAGGAUGACCCUGAGUAGGCGAAAGGGAGGAACCCCCGGAACAGAAAAGGGUGGCAGAAAAGAGGCCCAAGCAACUGUUUACCAAAAACACAGGUGCCUGCGAAAGCGAAAGCUGAAGUAUAGGUGCUGACGCCUGCCCGGUGCUGGAAGGUUAAGGAGAGAGGUCAGCGAAAGCGAAGCUUUGAACUGAAGCCCCAGUGAACGGCGGCCGUAACAAUAACGGUCCUAAGGUAGCGAAAUUCCUUGUCGGGUAAGUUCCGACCCGCAUGAAAGGCGUAAUGAUUUGGGCACUGUCUCAACGAGGGGCCCGGUGAAAUUGAAAUACCUGUGAAGAUGCAGGUUACCCGCGACUGGACAGAAAGACCCCAUGGAGCUUCACUGCAGCUUGAGAUUGAAUCACGGUGACAUAUGCACAGGAUAGGUGGGAGGCUAAGAAGUAAUGCCUUUGGGUGUUACAGAGCCGAUGUUGGGAUACCACCCUUAUGUUGCUGAGAUUCUAACACGGAGACUAACAACCUCGUGGACCAUCUCAGGCAGGCGGUUUGACUGGGGCGGUCGCCUCCUAAAAUGUAACGGAGGCGCCCAAAGGUUCCCUCAGGCCGGACAGAAGCCGGCCGAAGAGUGCAAAGGCAGAAAGGAGCUUGACUGCGAGACAGACAAGUCGAGCAGAGACGAAAGUCGGGCUUAGUGAUCCGGUGGUACUGAGUGGAAAGGCCAUCGCCCAACGGAUAAAAGCUACCCUGGGGAUAACAGGCUAAUCUCUCCCAAGAGUUCAUAUCGACGGGGAGGUUUGGCACCUCGAUGUCGGCUCAUCACAUCCUGGAGCUGGAGUAGGUUCCAAGGGUUGGGCUGUUCGCCCAUUAAAGUGGUACGCGAGCUGGGUUCAAAACGUCGUGAGACAGUUUGGUUCAUAUCCAUCGCGGGCGCAAGAAGUUUGAGGGAGGCUGCUCCUAGUACGAGAGGACCGGAGUGGACGGAUCAACGGUGUACCAGUUGUCACGCCAGUGGCACGGCUGGAAAGCCGCAUCCGGAAAGGAUAAACGCUGAAAGCAUCUAAGCGUGAAGCCCGUCCCGAGAUGAGACUUCUCAUCAGCAAUGAGUAAGACCCCUUAAAGACGAUGAGGUUGAUAGGCUGUGAGUGGAAGUGGCGCAAGUCAUGGAGCGACGCAGUACUAAUAGGUCGAGGUCUUAGC